rnacentral:rRNA from 1 species
AUACGGAGGAUACGAGCGUUAUCCGGAUUUAUUGGGUUUAAAGGGUGCGCAGGCGGUUCGGUAAGACAGGGGUGAAAAGUUGGGGCUAAACUCCAAUCGUGCCUUUGAUACUGCCGGACUAGAGUGCGGUAGGCGUGGCCGGAAUGUGAUGUGUAGCGGUGAAAUGCUUAGAUAUGUCACCGAACACCGAUCGAGAAGACAGGUCACGAGCUCGCAACUGACGCUCAGGCACGAAAGCGUGGGGAUCAAACAGGCUUAGAUGCCCUGGUAGUCCACGCUGUAAACGAUGAUCUCUCGUUGUUGGGGGGCGACCCUCAGCGGCCAAGCGAAAGCAAUAAGUGAUCCACCUGGGGAGUACGAUCGCAAGGUUGAAACUCAAAUGAAUUGACGGGG